GAUUAUGACGUACUUGUACUGAUUGAGAUUUUAACACGAAGUGAGUGGCGAACGGGUGAGUAACACGUGGGUAACCUGCCCAGAAGUAGGGGAUAACACCUGGAAACAGAUGCUAAUACCGUAUAACAGAGAAAACCGCAUGGUUUUCUUUUAAAAGAUGGCUCUGCUAUCACUUCUGGAUGGACCCGCGGCGUAUUAGCUAGUUGGUGAGGUAAAGGCUCACCAAGGCAGUGAUACGUAGCCGACCUGAGAGGGUAAUCGGCCACAUUGGGACUGAGACACGGCCCAGACUCCUACGGGAGGCAGCAGUAGGGAAUCUUCCACAAUGGACGCAAGUCUGAUGGAGCAACGCCGCGUGAGUGAAGAAGGGUUUCGGCUCGUAAAGCUCUGUUGUUAAAGAAGAACGUGGGUAAGAGUAACUGUUUACCCAGUGACGGUAUUUAACCAGAAAGCCACGGCUAACUACGUGCCAGCAGCCGCGGUAAUACGUAGGUGGCAAGCGUUAUCCGGAUUUAUUGGGCGUAAAGCGAGCGCAGGCGGUCUUUUAAGUCUAAUGUGAAAGCCUUCGGCUCAACCGAAGAAGUGCAUUGGAAACUGGGAGACUUGAGUGCAGAAGAGGACAGUGGAACUCCAUGUGUAGCGGUGAAAUGCGUAGAUAUAUGGAAGAACACCAGUGGCGAAGGCGGCUGUCUGGUCUGCAACUGACGCUGAGGCUCGAAAGCAUGGGUAGCGAACAGGAUUAGAUACCCUGGUAGUCCAUGCCGUAAACGAUGAUUACUAAGUGUUGGAGGGUUUCCGCCCUUCAGUGCUGCAGCUAACGCAUUAAGUAAUCCGCCUGGGGAGUACGACCGCAAGGUUGAAACUCAAAAGAAUUGACGGGGGCCCGCACAAGCGGUGGAGCAUGUGGUUUAAUUCGAAGCUACGCGAAGAACCUUACCAGGUCUUGACAUCUUCUGACAGUCUAAGAGAUUAGAGGUUCCCUUCGGGGACAGAAUGACAGGUGGUGCAUGGUUGUCGUCAGCUCGUGUCGUGAGAUGUUGGGUUAAGUCCCGCAACGAGCGCAACCCUUAUUACUAGUUGCCAGCAUUAAGUUGGGCACUCUAGUGAGACUGCCGGUGACAAACCGGAGGAAGGUGGGGACGACGUCAAAUCAUCAUGCCCCUUAUGACCUGGGCUACACACGUGCUACAAUGGAUGGUACAACGAGUCGCGAGACCGCGAGGUUAAGCUAAUCUCUUAAAACCAUUCUCAGUUCGGACUGUAGGCUGCAACUCGCCUACACGAAGUCGGAAUCGCUAGUAAUCGCGGAUCAGCAUGCCGCGGUGAAUACGUUCCCGGGCCUUGUACACACCGCCCGUCACACCAUGAGAG
rnacentral:rRNA from 1 species